AACGAACGCUGGCGGCAUGCCUAACACAUGCAAGUCGAACGAGACCUUCGGGUCUAGUGGCGCACGUGUGCUUAACGCGUGGGAACCUGCCCUUAAGUUCGGAAUAACUCCCCGAAAGAUGUGCUAAUACCGGUUAAUGUCUUCGCACCAAAGAUUUAUCGCCUUUGGAUGGGCCCGCGUUGGAUUAGCUAGUUGGUAGUGUAAAAGCCUACCAAGGCGACGAUCCAUAGCUGGUCUGAGAGGAUGAUCAGCCACACUGGGACUGAGACACGGCCCAGACUCCUACGGGAGGGAGCAGUGGGGAAUAUUGGACAAUGGGCGAAAGCAUGAUCCAGCAAUGCGGGGUGAGAGAUGAAGGCCGUAGGGUUGUAAAGCUCUUUUACCCGGGAUGAUAAUGACAGUACCGGGAGAAUAAGCUCCGGCUAACUCCGUG
rnacentral:rRNA from 1 species